AAAGACCCCGUGAACCUUUACUAUAGCUUGACACUGAACAUUGAGCCUUGAUGUGUAGGAUAGGUGGGAGGCUUUGAAGUGUGGACGCCAGUCUGCAUGGAGCCGGCCUUGAAAUACCACCCUUUAAUGUUUGAUGUUCUAACGUUGGCCCCUGAUCGGGGUUGCGGACAGUGUCUGGUGGGUAGUUUGACUGGGGCGGUCUCCUCCUAAAGAGUAACGGAGGAGCACGAAGGUUGGCUAAUCCUGGUCGGACAUCAGGAGGUUAGUGCAAUGGCAUAAGCCAGCUUGACUGCGAGCGUGACGGCGCGAGCAGGUGCGAAAGCAGGUCAUAGUGAUCCGGUGGUUCUGAAUGGAAGGGCCAUCGCUCAACGGAUAAAAGGUACUCCGGGGAUAACAGGCUGAUACCGCCCAAGAGUUCAUAUCGACGGCGGUGUUUGGCACCUCGAUGUCGGCUCAUCACAUCCUGGGGCUGAAGUAGGUCCCAAGGGUAUGGCUGUUCGCCAUUUAAAGUGGUACGCGAGCUGGGUUUAGAACGUCGUGAGACAGUUCGGUCCCUAUCUGCCGUGGGCGCUGGAGAACUGAGGGGGGCUGCUCCUAGUACGAGAGGACCGGAGUGGACGCAUCACUGGUGUUCGGGUUGUCAUGCCAAUGGCACUGCCCGGUAGCUAAAUGCGGAAGAGAUAAGUGCUGAAAGCAUCUAAGCACGAAACUUGCCCCGAGAUGAGUUCUCCCUGACUCCUUGAGAGUCCUGAAGGAACGUUGAAGACGACGACGUUGAUAGGCCGGGUGUGUAAGCGCAGCGAUGCGUUGAGCUAACCGGUACUAAUGAACCGUGAGGCUUAACCUU
rnacentral:rRNA from 1 species